GGAGGAUCGGUGGCCGGGGUUUUGACGGCCCGAGGGAGAGGAGGGGUCCCGGUGGUGGGGGCUUUGAUGUGUUCAAUAGCGUUCCUGGGUCGGAUGCAGAGACCUGGGGGAAGAAGAAGGAGGAAGGUAAUGGGCCGGAUGCGGAGACCUGGGGGAAGAAGAGGGAGGAAGGUAAUAGCGGCAGCAGUGGGAGGCCGAGGCUGGUGUUGCAGCCACGAUCUCUGCCGUUAGCUAAUGGAAGUAACGGGAGCCGGAAGGGGUCGAACCCCUUU
rnacentral:lncRNA from 1 species